GGCUCUGUGGCGCAAUGGAUAGCGCAUUGGACUUCUAGUGCUUGAAGGAAGGAAUUCAAAGGUUGCGGGUUCGAGUCCCGCCAGAGUCG
rnacentral:tRNA from 2 species